rnacentral:lncRNA from 1 species
GUUAAGGGAAUAUAAUCCCACAUCGGUAAAAUACCGAAAUAAUGACCAAUAUAUAAAGAAUUGGGACACUCCUCUUAACAAGGUUGACCUUAUUAAGAUGGACCCCAAGUCUUUAAAAUGGUAUCAGAGCCCAUUAAGCUCCAACGAGCGAUUCGAUCCGAUUAAGUCUCUAAAAAUGAGCACACGGAUUUCAAGAUUGGUCUGCUCAAACGAGCCACCAUCUUGCGGGGGCAUGUUAAGG